rnacentral:rRNA from 1 species
GAUCAUGGCUCAGGGAUGAACGCUAGCGGCAGGCCUAAUACAUGCAAAGUCGAACGGCAGAUUUGGUAGCAAUACUAAAAUCCUAGAGUGGCGCACGGGUGAGUAACGCGUACAUGACAUACCUAUAAGCGAGGGAUAGCAUUGGGAAACUGGUAGUAACCCCUCAUGUGAUUAUUUGUAAUAAAGGUAAAUAAUUAAAACUACGGUGCUUAUAGAUUGGUGUGCGUCUGAUUAGCUAGUUGGCGAGGUAACGGCUCACCAAGGCGACGAUCAGUAGGGGCGUGAGAGCGUGAACCCCCACACGGGUACUGAGACACGGACCCGACUCCUACGGGAGGCAGCAGUAAGGAAUAUUGGUCAAUGGAGGGAACUCUGAACCAGCCAUGCCGCGUGCAGGAUGAAAGCCCUCUGGGUUGUAAACUGCUUUUAACAGGGAAGAAAAUGCUAUACGUGUGGGAGCUUGACGGUACUGUAGGAAUAAGGAUCGGCUAACUCCGUG